rnacentral:lncRNA from 1 species
CCGCACCCGAGAGCACCGCCGCCGGUAAGUCUCAAAUUUUUGUGAUUUUUUGGCCCCCCAAGGGCCCUAGGGUUGUUUUAUCGCAGGGACCAAUGCAAGUUUGGCCGAAUUUGGCUGAAAAUAGCCAACCCUAGGCGAAUCGCCACCGCAGGCGCCGUUGCCGUCGUCGGAGCACGACGGAGCUGCCAUGCCAGAAUUUUGAUAUUGGUCGAAAGGGGCCCUAGGUCUGAUUUGGAAUUUUUUGGGACACAUGCAGGUACUGGUAGUGCGUUUCAGUUUUCCAGGAAAAAAUUC